AGGAAGGUUAAAAGCACCCUCAGACUCAGGAAGGUUAAAACCACCCUCAGACUCAGGAAGGUUAAAACCACCCUCAGACUCAGGAAGGCUAAAACCACCCUCAGACUCAGGAAGGUUAAAACCACCCUCAGACUCAGGAAGGUUAAAACCACCCUCAGACUCAGGAAGGUUAAAACCACCCUCAGACUCAGGAAGGUUAAAACCACCCUCAGACUCAGGAAGGUUAAAACCACCCUCAGACUCAGGAAGGUUAAAACCACCCUCAGACCCAGGAAGGUUAAAACCACCCUCAGACUCAGGAAGGUUUAAACCACCCUCAGACUCAGGAAGGUUAAAAC
ensembl:lncRNA